rnacentral:rRNA from 1 species
GAUGAACGCUGGCGGCAUGCCUAAUACAUGCAAGUCGAACGAGAGGAAGGAAAGCUUGCUUUUCUGAAUCUAGUGGCGAACGGGUGAGUAACACGUAGGUAACCUGCCCAUGUGCCCGGGAUAACUUCUGGAAACGGAUGCUAAAACCGGAUAGGUAGCAGACAAGCAUUUGACUGAUAUUAAAGUGGCUAAGGCCAUGAAGAUGGAUGGACCUGCGGUGCAUUAGCUAGUUGGUGAGGUAACGGCCCACCAAGGCGACGAUGCAUAGCCGGCCUGAGAGGGCGGACGGCCACAUUGGGACUGAGACACGGCCCAAACUCCUACGGGAGGCGGCAGUAGGGAAUUUUCGUCAAUGGGGGAACCCUGAACGAGCAAUGCCGCGUGAGUGAGGAAGGUCUUCGGAUCGUAAAGCUCUGUUGUAAGAGAAAAACGACAUUCAUAGGGAAUGAUGAGUGAGUGAUGGUAUCUUACCAGAAAGUCACGGCUAACUACGUGCCAGCCGCCGCAGUAA